UGCUCCGUCGUCUAGCGGCAAGACACCCGGCUCUGGACCGGACGACCGAGGUUCGAAUCCUUGCGGAGCAG
rnacentral:tRNA from 1 species